ACUAACAAGGAUUCCCCUAGUAACUGCGAGUGAAGAGGGAAAAGCUCAAAUUUAAAAUCUGGCGGGCUCUGUCCGUCCGAGUUGUAAUCUGGAGAAGCGUUUUCCGCGUCGGACCGUGCACAAGUCUCCUGGAACGGAGCGUCAUAGAGGGUGAGAAUCCCGUCCAUGGCACGGACCGCCGAUGCUCUGUGAUACGUUUUCAAAGAGUCGAGUUGUUUGGGAAUGCAGCUCAAAACGGGUGGUAAAUUCCAUCUAAAGCUAAAUAUUGGCGAGAGACCGAUAGCGAACAAGUACCGUGAGGGAAAGAUGAAAAGCACUUUGGAAAGAGAGUUAAACAGUACGUGAAAUUGUUGAAAGGGAAACGCUUGAAGUCAGUCGCGUCCGACGGAACUCAGCCUUGCUUCGGCCUGGUGUACUUUCCGUCGGACGGGUCAACAUCAGUUUUGAUCGGUGGAAAAAGGUGGGGGGAAUGUAGCGCCGCUUCGGCGGCGUGUUAUAGCCCCUCGCUGUAUGCACCGGUCGGGACUGAGGACCGCAGCACGCCUUUUUGGCCGGGGGCUCGCGCCCUACGUACCGUGCUUAGGAUGUUGGCAUAAUGGCUUU
rnacentral:rRNA from 1 species